rnacentral:miRNA from 1 species
GCACGGCCAAAGCCCCCGCAUCCCACUGCCGCCUGACAGACAGCGGGGGAGGAGGGAGGGGGCCCGGCUGGUCCACUCGGA